rnacentral:rRNA from 1 species
GAUGAACGCUGGCGGCGUGCCUAAUACAUGCAAGUCGAGCGAACAGACGAGGAGCUCGCUCCUCUGACGUUAGCGGCGGACGGGUGAGUAACACGUGGAUAACCUACCUAUAAGACUGGGAUAACUUCGGGAAACCGGAGCUAAUACCGGAUAAUAUAUUGAACCGCAGGGUUCAAUAGUGAAAGACGGUUUUGCCGUCAGUAAUAGAUGGAUCCGCGCCGCAUUAGCUAGUUGGUAAGGUAACGCCUUACCAAGGCAACGAUGCGUAGCCGACCGGAGAGGGUGAUCGGCCACCCUGGAACUGGGCCACGGUCCAGACUCCUACGGGAGGCACCAGUAGGGAAUCUUCCGCAAGGGGCGAAGGCCGAACGGAGCAACGCGGCGUGGGGGAGGAAGGUCUUCGGUUCUUAAAACUCUUUUAUUAGGAAAAAACAAAGGUGUAAGAAACUCUGCACGUCUUGACGUUACCAAAGCAGAAGGCCCCGGCUAACUACGGG